GGGGGUAUAACUCAGUGGCUGAGCAUGUGUUUUACGUGCAUGAGAUCCUGGGUUCAAUCCCCAGUACCUCCA
rnacentral:tRNA from 1 species